UGCUGCCCUGCAGCUCUGAGGAACUCUGACUCCCCUGAUGUCCUCUGUUCCUCAGGUGCUGGG
rnacentral:miRNA from 1 species